rnacentral:rRNA from 1 species
GGCAGCAGUGGGGAAUAUUGCACAAUGGGCGAAAGCCUGAUGCAGCAACGCCGCGUGAGGGACGACGGCCUUCGGGUUGUAAACCUCUUUUAGCAGGAAAGAAGCGAAAGUGACGGUACCUGCAGAAAAAGCGCCGGCUAACUACGUGCCAGCAGCCGCGGUAAUACGUAGGGCGCAAGCGUUAUCCGGAAUUAUUGGGCGUAAAGAGCUCGUAGGCGGUCUGUCGCGUCUGCUGUGAAAACCCGAGGCUCAACCUCGGGCCUGCAGUGGGUACGGGCAGACUAGAGUGCGGUAGGGGAGAUUGGAAUUCCUGGUGUAGCGGUGGAAUGCGCAGAUAUCAGGAGGAACACCGAUGGCGAAGGCAGAUCUCUGGGCCGUAACUGACGCUGAGGAGCGAAAGGGUGGGGAGCAAACAGGCUUAGAUACCCUGGUAGUCCACCCCGUAAACGUUGGGAACUAGUUGUGGGGUCCAUUCCACGGAUUCCGUGACGCAGCUAACGCAUUAAGUUCCCCGCCUGGGGAGUACGGCCGCAAGGCUAAAACUCAAAGGAAUUGACGGGGACCCGCACAAGCGGCGGAGCAUGCGGAUUAAUUCGAUGCAACGCGAAGAACCUUACCAAGGCUUGACAUAUACGAGAACGGGCCAGAAAUGGUCAACUCUUUGGACACUCGUAAACAGGUGGUGCAUGGUUGUCGUCAGCUCGUGUCGUGAGAUGUUGGGUUAAGUCCCGCAACGAGCGCAACCCUCGUUCUAUGUUGCCAGCACGUAAUGGUGGGAACUCAUGGGAUACUGCCGGGGUCAACUCGGAGGAAGGUGGGGAUGACGUCAAAUCAUCAUGCCCCUUAUGUCUUGGGCUUCACGCAUGCUACAAUGGCCGGUACAAAGGGCUGCAAUACCGCGAGGUGGAGCGAAUCCCAAAAAGCCGGUCCCAGUUCGGAUUGAGGUCUGCAACUCGACCUCAUGAAGUCGGAGUCGCUAGUAAUCGCAGAUCAGCAACGCUGCGGUGAAUACGUUCCCGGGUCUUGUACACACCGCCCGUCAAGUCAUG